rnacentral:tRNA from 1 species
GAUGUAGUUCAGUGGUAGAGGCUUGCUGAGCAUGCAGGAGGCCCUGGGUUCAGUUCCCAGCAACAUCU